AGAGUUUGAUCAUGGCUCAGGAUGAACGCUAGCGGCAGGCCUAACACAUGCAAGUCGAGGGGCAGCAUAGAUUGCUUGCAAUCUGAUGGCGACCGGCGCACGGGUGCGUAACGCGUAUGAAACCUACCUAAUACAGGGGGAUAGCCCAGAGAAAUUUGGAUUAAUACCCUAUGGUACUGUGAUCUCGCAUGGGAUUAUAGUUAAAGAUUUAUCGGUAUUAGAUGGUCAUGCGUUCUAUUAGUUAGUUGGUAAGGUAACGGCUUACCAAGACAUCGAUAGAUAGGGGCCCUGAGAGGGGGAUCCCCCACACUGGUACUGAGACACGGACCAGACUCCUACGGGAGGCAGCAGUGAGGAAUAUUGGACAAUGGAGGCAACUCUGAUCCAGCCAUGCCGCGUGAAGGAAGACUGCCCUAUGGGUUGUAAACUUCUUUUAUAGAGGAAGAAACACAGAUACGUGUAUUUGUUUGACGGUACUCUACGAAUAAGGAUCGGCUAACUCCGUGCCAGCAGCCGCGGUAAUACGGAGGAUCCAAGCGUUAUCCGGAAUCAUUGGGUUUAAAGGGUCCGCAGGCUGUUGUUUAAGUCAGAGGUGAAAGUUUGCAGCUCAACUGUAAAAUUGCCUUUGAUACUGGAUAACUUGAGUAAUAAUGAAGUGGUUAGAAUAUGUAGUGUAGCGGUGAAAUGCAUAGAUAUUACAUAGAAUACCGAUUGCGAAGGCAGAUCACUAAUUAUAUACUGACGCUGAGGGACGAAAGCGUGGGGAGCGAACAGGAUUAGAUACCCUGNUAGUCCACGCCGUAAACGAUGGUUACUAGCUGUUUGGACUUCGGUCUGAGUGGCUAAGCGAAAGUGAUAAGUAACCCACCUGGGGAGUACGAUCGCAAGAUUGAAACUCAAAGGAAUUGACGGGGCCCGCACAAGCGGUGGNNCAUGUGGGUUUAAUUCGAUGAUACGCGAGGAACCUUACCAGGGCUUAAAUGUGNAUUGACAG
rnacentral:rRNA from 1 species